rnacentral:rRNA from 1 species
AGAGUUUGAUCCGUGGCUCAGGACAACGCUGGCGGCGUGCUUAACACAUGCAAGUCGAACGGGGACUUAGGUCCCAGUGGCGAACGGGUGAGUAAAGCGCAAAUAACCUGCCUCAAAGAUGGGGACAACAACUCGAAAGGGUUGCUAAUACCGAAUGUUGUGGAUUUAUCGCAUGGUGGAUUUACUAAAGAUUUAUCGCUUUGAGAGGGGUUUGCGUCCGAUUAGAUAGUUGGUGGGGUAAAGGCCUACCAAGUCGACGAUCGGUAACCGGUCUGAGAGGAUGAACGGUCACAUUGGAACUGAGAGACGGUCCAGACUCCUACGGGAGGCAGCAGUGGGGAAUAUUCCACAAUGGAGGGAACUCUGAUGGAGCGACGCCGCGUGAGUGAAGAAGGGUUUAGGCUCGUAAAGCUCUUUUCUUGCAGACGAGUGACUUAUUAGAUAAGUAGGGACGGUAUGUAAGGAAUAAGCCACGGCUAACUACGUGCC